rnacentral:lncRNA from 1 species
GCUGUGAUUGACGCCGAUGUCCUUCUGUAGUGACAGAUGUUGCACGCCAGAUAGGUCUCGACGGCGUGCAAUAUUUAGUUUUAGCUUUAUUGUGUGAGUUUUUUUGUGUUUUUCUGGUUUUCCAUUGGUCCUAAAUUGUACAUCGAAAUCAGUGUAGAUGUAUUAAGAGAGAUGAGCUACUAUGUAGGCAUUAGUUGUUUUUGUUAUGUACCUGGUUACUUAAUAAUCGUUCUUAAUAUUGAAAAGGGACAGAAAUAAGCUGAGUAUUUGAUCUGACUUGGUAGUGUUUGCCGGUUAACGCAUCUAUGUCAUUAGACCAGUUCUUUUUUCUUCUCACAGUUUGUCAUUUAGAAUGAUUUUUUAGAGGAACCAGGAACUGGUUCCUGAUUCACUUUGUCCUCUUUGUUGAUGAUCCUUUUCUUCCUAUGGUUAUGCAGGCUUGAGUCUCAGUUUGAUCUUACAGUUCUACGGCUCAAAGGUUGAUGACUGCCAUGAGGCACUACCCAGUUAAAUCUUCGUAAGUUGUUGACCAUGAACUUUUCUUCUUAAUUAUUUUCAUCUUCUUAGCCUUGCCACAUCAUCUCUUAAAAAUAGUUUGAAUCCAUCAACCGUGUGCUCUGCCUAUGCAAUUCAUUGAACCGUAAGAUUAAAACCUUGAUAAGGUGUAGCCCUGUCUCCAACUACCUUCUGAAUAUUAACAUUUUUGUUGGAAAAAGAAGAAAGAUUAAAUCAUAGUUUGCACUAAAUGAAAAUGAGUUUUUUUUACAUUUUGUUCACUCACUAGGAGGGUCACUAUUUAUAUGCUUGCUUCAACUUUUUCCGGAUCACCAUGUAAAUCAUUUGUACAGGAGCUCUGGAACAAGAAAAACAAUAAUCACAAGGAUGGAGGCUUAACAUGUAUUUUGUUUGCCAUCUGGUGUUUAUCUAAUUUUUUCAUGGGUGACCAAAACCAGAUUACCUUUUCUAAUGUUAGUAUUGGAGUGUUAUCUGCAAUGGCAUCUACUAUAUAUGCUGAAAGUAGUUUUAUUUAUCUUUAGAACUUGAUAUAUUUUCUAAAACCACUUAUUAUGCUUCUAUUUGUAUCUAUGACUUCUGAAGCAAGUCAACACACACACAGGCAAAUAAACCAAACUGCCGUAGAGUCACUGUAUACAAGGAAGCUUGGUUGUUUAUAUUUUCAGAAAAAUGGAUCUAUCAUGAUUAAGAUAUGGUCAACAUGUAUAUAUUUGGUUCUACUGUGCUCUCUAGUGUUGCUUACCAAUGUGAUUGCUUAAUGAUUACUACGACAUAUCUUGCUAG